rnacentral:lncRNA from 1 species
UUGAUUUCAUGAUCAUACAUGUCUUUGUGAGGAUAAAAAAUAGAUUUUUGACUUAAAACAAUAAUCAAACUUCUCUCUAUUCUUCUACUUCUUCUUUAAUCAUUUUGUGUGCCUUUCGUAAGGAUUACCUUCUGUUUUCAUACUUUUUUCCUUGCUAUAGUCUUCUCCCACUCUUUCCCCUUCUUUUCUAUAUCUAUUUUUUUGUUGUUGAUGGUGUGAAGUGUCUUCUCUCCUCGUCAACCUUGAACAGAUGCCAAAAAGAAAAAUGAGAUUGUUUUGCGUACAAUAAGUUUCGUUAAAAAAUGGAAGUACAAAAGAGACAAUUAAUGCUAAGAUACAAUGACAUCAAUCAUCAAAAUUGAAAAAUGAGGUUUUUAUCUUUUGGAAAAAUUA